rnacentral:rRNA from 1 species
AUUGAACGCUGGCGGCAGGCCUAACACAUGCAAGUCGAACGAGUGGCGGACGGGUGAGUAAUGUCUGGGAAACUGCCUGAUGGAGGGGGAUAACUACUGGAAACGGUAGCUAAUACCGCAUACCAUCAGAUGUGCCCAGAUGGGAUUAGCUUGUUGGUGGGGUAACGGCUCACCAAGGCGCCGAUCCCUAGCUGGUCUGAGAGGAUGACGGGCCACACUGUAACUGGGCAACGGGCCAGACUCCAACGGGAGGCAGGAGUGGGGAAUAUUGAACAAUGGGCGCAAGCCUAAUGCAGCCAUGCCGCGUGUAUGAAGAGGGCCUUCGGGUUGUAAAGUACUUUAAGCGGGGAGGCGUUACCCGCAGAAGAAGCACCGGCUAACUCCGUGCCAGCAGCCGCGGUAAUAC